CAUUGCGAUGGUCCCUGCGG
rnacentral:snRNA from 1 species